rnacentral:rRNA from 1 species
GUUGAACGCUGGCGGCAUGCCUAACACAUGCAAGUCGAGCGAAUAGACGAGGAUCUUUCCUCUCUUACGUGACCGGCGGACGAGUGAGGAACACGUGUCUAACCGGCCUAGAGGGCUAGGAUAAGUUAGGGAAAGCGGAUCUAAUAUAGGAUAAGAUAUUGAACGGCAGGGUUCAAUAGAGAAAGACGUUUUUGCUGUCACUUGGAGAUGGAACCAAGCCGCAUUAGCUAGUUGGUACGGUAACGGCUUACCAAGGCGACGAUGCGUAGCCGACCUGAGAGGGUGAUCGGUCACACUGGAACUGAGACACGGUCCAGACUCCUACGGGAGGCAGCAGUAGGGAAUCUUCCGCAAUGGGCGAAAGCCUGACGCAGCCAUGCCGCGUGUGUGAAGAAGGUCUUCGGAUUGUAAAGCACUUUUAUUAGGGAAGAAGAAAUGUGAGAUAAACUAUGGCUGUCUUGACGUUACCUACACAGAAAGCACCGGCUAACUACGUG